UCUGCCAUUUUUUGGCACCAAAGGCUCAGUCUUCAAGAGCUCUCUCUCUCUCCUAGUCAAGAGAUACUGCUACAGUUACCACCAGUUGGCUCAGUUUUCUUGUCUAAAAGGUCA